rnacentral:rRNA from 1 species
GGUAACGGCCUACCAAGGCUACGAUCAGUAGGGGUUCUGAGAGGAUUAACCCCCACACUGGUACUGAGACACGGACCAGACUCCUACGGGAGGCAGCAGUGAGGAAUAUUGGUCAAUGGGCGGAAGCCUGAACCAGCCAUCCCGCGUGAAGGAAGACAGCCUUACGGGUUGUAAACUUCUUUUCUGUCAGAAGAAUAAGCUUGUCGAGACGAGUGAUGCCGGUAUGACAGGAAUAAGCAUCGGCUAACUCCGUGCCAGCAGCCGCGGUAAUACGGAGGAUGCAAGCGUUAUCCGGAUUUAUUGGGUUUAAAGGGUGCGCAGGUUGUUUGAUAAGUCAGUGGUGAAAGUCUGUCGCUUAACGGUAGGAUUGCCAUUGAUACUGUUGGACUUGAAUAUGGAUGAGGUAGGCGGAAUGUGUAGUGUAGCGGUGAAAUGCAUAGAUAUUACACAGAACACCGAUUGCGAAGGCAGCUUACUAAUCCAUCAUUGACGCUGAGGCACGAAAGCGUGGGGAUCAAACAGGAUUAGAUACCCUGGUAGUCCACGCCGUAAACGAUGAUCACUCGCUGUUUGCGAUAUACAGUAAGCGGCUAAGCGAAAGCGUUA